GACGAACGCUGGCGGCGUGCUUAACACAUGCAAGUCGAACGAUGAUGCCCAGCUUGCUGGGUGGAUUAGUGGCGAACGGGUGAGUAACACGUGAGUAACCUGCCCCUGACUCUGGGAUAAGCGUUGGAAACGACGUCUAAUACUGGAUAUGACUGCCGGCCGCAUGGUCUGGUGGUGGAAAGAUUUUUUGGUUGGGGAUGGACUCGCGGCCUAUCAGCUUGUUGGUGAGGUAAUGGCUCAUCAAGGCGACGACGGGUAGCCGGCCUGAGAGGGUGACCGGCCACACUGGAACUGAGACACGGCCAAGACUCCUACGGGAGGGAGGAGUGGGGAAUAUUGCACAAUGGGCGAAAGGCUGAUGCAGCAACGCCGCGUGAGGGAUGACGGCCUUCGUGUUGUAAAGCUCUUUUCGUAGGGAGGAAGCGAAAGUGACGGUACCUGAAGAAAAAGCACCGGCUAACUACGUGCCAGCCGCCGCAGUAAAAC
rnacentral:rRNA from 1 species